CCUACGGGAGGCUGCAGUAGGGAAUAUUGCUCAAUGGGGGAAACCCUGAAGCAGCAACGCCGCGUGGAGGAUGAAGGUUUUCGGAUUGUAAACUCCUUUUGUCAGAGAAGAUAAUGACGGUAUCUAACGAAUAAGCACCGGCUAACUCCGUGCCAGCAGCCGCGGUAAUACGGAGGGUGCAAGCGUUAUUCGGAAUUACUGGGCGUAAAGAGCGCGUAGGCGGGUAAGCAAGUCAGAUGUGAAAUCCUAUGGCUUAACCAUAGAACUGCAUUUGAAACUGUUAUUCUAGAGUAUGGGAGAGGUAGGUGGAAUUCUUGGUGUAGGGGUAAAAUGCGUAGAGAUCAAGAGGAAUACUCAUUGCGAAGGCGACCUGCUAGAACGUAACUGACGCUGAUGCGCGAAAGCGUGGGGAGCAAACAGGAUUAGAUACCCGAGUAGUC
rnacentral:rRNA from 1 species